UACGUAGGGGGCAAGCGUUGUCCGGAUUUAUUGGGCGUAAAGAGCGUGUAGUCGGCUUUGCAAGUCCGUUGUGAAAACUCGAGGCUCAACCUCGAGACGCCGGUGGAAACUGCAAAGCUAGAGUCCGGAAGAGGAGAGUGGAAUUCCUGGUGUAGCGGUGAAAUGCGCAGAUAUCAGGAAGAACACCUGUGGCGAAGGCGGCUCUCUGGGACGGUACUGACGCUGAGACGCGAAAGCGUGGGGAGCGAACAGG
rnacentral:rRNA from 1 species